rnacentral:lncRNA from 10 species
GCCAGGCACAGCGGCUCACACCCGCAAUCCCAGUACUUCGGGAGGCUGAGGCGGGAGGAUCACUUGAGCCUAGGAGUUUUAGACUAGCUUAGGCAACAUGGUGAAACCUCAUCUCUACAAAAAAGUACAACAACUAGCCAGGCAUGGUGGUGAGUGCCUGUAGUCCCAGCUACUCAGGAGGCAGAGGAGGGAGGAUGGCCUGAGCCAGGUAGGCCAAGAUUUCAGUGAGCUGAGAUCAUGCUGCUGCACUCCAGACUGGGCAACAGAGUGAGACCCUGUCUCAAAAAAAAAAAGAAAGAAACAUGCAAGAAAUAAUUACCAUAAUAAGUACAUUGUAGCACAUGUUAGGGGGUGACGAAUGCAAGGGAAAAAAAGAGUAAGUACAGAGAUGAGGAGUGUUGGGUGGGCAGGCAGUGGCUGUAUUGAGUGGAGUGUUCAGUGGAUGCCCUGAGACUAUCCGAAGGGCAAAUUCUUCAGGAAGAGGAACAGCUCAUGCAAAAGCUCCAAAAGGAAGCUGACUAGCUGACUGGUGUGCCAUCGGAGAAGGUGGAGCCAACAGGAUUGCUGAUGGUCUAGAUGUGGAGUUUGAGGGAAAAGGAGGUGUCAAGGUGCUUCCAAGGUUUCUUGGCCUGAACGGUGACAGGUAUGGAACUGCCAUCAAAUGACAUGGAGCGAGGUGUUUGGGGGAAGCCCAGGUUCAGCUUUGGUUCUGUGGAGUCUGUCAUGUCUUUUGACAUCCUCAAAGAGACAUCAGGAAUGGGAGAAGCAGGGAGCCUGAGAAGGAGGAAAACCAGCAGAGAGUGGAGGCCUGGCCACCAAGUGAAAAGAAGUACAUCAAAGAGCAGGGAGUGGUCAGCUGUGUCAAACUGUUGAUCAGUUAAGAAGAUGAAGAAUGGGCCGG